rnacentral:lncRNA from 1 species
CAUUUUCACAGAGACUAACAAAUGAUUUAGUCUUAAUUAUCAGUUCCUUUGAAUACCUCUUAACCUUCCAUCAAUAUUGAGGCUUUAGCAUGGCAAUCACAUGACAAAUCUGAUGUUUUUAAUUAAUUUAACAGUAUGGUAGGUAUUGUAUUACAUUGUAUUUCUUUUCUCACAUCAAUAUUACUUAAUAGCUGUUACUAAUGAGAAACAAAUUAUUUCAGUGGCCUGAGAGUCCAAACAUUGGACAGUGACACUAGUGGAAAAGUGGUAUGGACAAUGCUUAUCAAACAUCAAUGUGGGAAGUCUAUCAGCCUGUUGAGUUAAAAGCUCUUGCCUCAUUUUAUAUUACACUGAUUUACAGCCUAUAUCUUUUCCUUCUGCCCUAGAUUGAUCUGGUACAUCUU